UACGGAGGGUGCAAGCGUUAUCCGGAUUUAUUGGGUUUAAAGGGUCCGUAGGCGGACCGUUAAGUCUGUGGUGAAAGCCUACCGCUCAACGGUAGAACUGCCAUGGAUACUGGCGGUCUUGAAUGUGUGUGAAGUUGGCGGAAUGUGUGGUGUAGCGGUGAAAUGCUUAGAUAUCACACAGAACACCGAUUGCGAAGGCAGCUGACUAACACACGAUUGACGCUGAGGGACGAAAGUGUGGGGAUCAAACAGG
rnacentral:rRNA from 1 species